CUCUGGCCUUGUAGCACUAAAGCAACCACAGAAUACAUAAACAAAUGUGUGUAGCUGUAUUUCAAUAAAACUCUAGAUACCAAAACAAGCGAUGGGCCAGAUGUGGUCUACAAGCUAACUGUAGUUUGCCAUGUACGUUCCUUGGGUCUAUUCACAUUUUCCUCCAUUCAACGUUUACUGAAAAGCUGUUAUCUAUUUAAAGACAUUUAGAAUAAAGAGCCAGCCUCUGCCUUGAGCCUAGGGAGGAGCCAGGAACAUAAACACACAAGCCAGCAGGAUACAAUGUGAACAACACUGUGAUCAAGGAGAUUGGAGAAGGCUUCUUAGGGGAGUAACAGCUGAGUUAGGAUUCUGCAGAAUGAAUAUGCAGUUUUCCAGAUUCAGGAAAGGUUUUAUCUAGGGAAACAUAAUAGCACACAUAAGGUGACGUGUGUUUAUGGCAGCCGGGGAGUACUGUGGUGGUGAUAGUGGGAAGUGAGAUGGCAAAGAGGAAAAGGGCCAGAUGAUGAUUAAAUGCCUUACCUGCCGCAGUGAGAGCAUACACACAUGCUCUGAUAGCACUUCUUAGACGGGAAUUCUGAGGGUCAAAGCAUGCCAUCCUGGGGUUGGCCCAUGGCAGCACCAGCCAUGAAGAGCAGCCAGCCUGGCAGGUGUGGAGAGGCCCCAGAGAACCACAGAAGCAGCCGCAGAAGUGAUGAGUGAGCAAUCUCCAGGUAACUAGAUCUGUUUUGCAACAGGGGCUGAAAACCUAACCUAAUGCUGGCCACCAAUAGGGCUAAACAGUGUUAGCAGGUACUGUCAGCAGGCCUCAGGCAGAAGCAGACAAGAAGGGUAAGAAGUAAAGGAGAGGGAGGAAAGGAGUUGAAAGAAUAAGAGAAUGAGGUGAAAGCUGAAGUCCCCACAGAGGGAAAUGCCACAAGACUAGGCCGUGCAACAUUUCCGCAGUGCUCCUCGCUACAAAGACAUUCCCCUAAGGCUGGUGGGCAACUCAACACUCAGCUCAGUACGUGGUCAGCUCGUCCUCCAUAGGAGCCUUAUGCCUUGGUGAGGAGAUCUCUGAAGAAAUUGCUGAUGAAAGUCCAACAGGCUCUUCCAGUUUGUCUGGUCGGUCACAUUUGCUGAAACCUGGAGGAAUUGUUAGUGGAAGCUCAACAGGCCUGACUCAGUCUGACUGUCCAUUCUUCUGGAAGCUGCAGAGAAAAGAAACCUGGAAACCUUAUAUGCUGACAAAAAGGGACACAAUUGGAUAUGAUGGUUAUUUUACCAAGGUUUUGAAAUGUCGUGCUUUCAAAUAUAAACAGACUGCUUUAAGGAAUCGAAGUUGACUUAUAGAGCCAAUAAAAGCCCUGCAGGAAAGCUGGCCUCAUACUUUGUCUACACAGUCUCUGUACAGGUUUCCUGACCUGUGGCUGGAGUGGAAUUGCGCGAUAUCGGC
rnacentral:lncRNA from 1 species